UACGUAGGGGGCAAGCGUUGUCCGGAAUCAUUGGGCGUAAAGAGCGUGUAGGCGGUCCGGUAAGUCGGCUGUGAAAGUCCAGGGCUCAACCCUGGGAUGCCGGUCGAUACUGCCGGACUAGAGUUCGGAAGAGGCGAGUGGAAUUCCCGGUGUAGAGGUGAAAUGCGCAGAUAUCGGGAGGAACACCAAUGGCGAAGGCAGCUCGCUGGGACGUUACUGACGCUGAGACGCGAAAGCGUGGGGAGCAAACAGG
rnacentral:rRNA from 1 species